rnacentral:sRNA from 1 species
UGAGUUGAAAGAGGCCUCAGUGUCCCCCUCAUCAGAGUCCCAUUUUAUUAAGGAAAGGAAACUGAGUUCAGAGAGGGCCUGUGACUUACCCAAGGUCAUACAGCUGGUUAGUAACAGAGGACUAAGACCUAGAUCUUCUAGUGACUUUGCCAACCACACUGUCAAGUAUCCCAAGGUCAAAGUAAAAUUUUAAGAUCCUUUGUGCUUGUAUAGACCUCUGUCAGGCAGCACUGACUUUGGAUGGGGACACCCCUCACCCUGAGUGGGGAAUCAACUUGCAGAAGAGGAAUGUCCCACCGGUUUGGGAGCAAACAGCAGGACUGGGUGGGCUCAGGGAUAAGGAUGAUGGUGUGGAGGGAGCCGGCUGUCUAACCUCUGACCCCAUUAACCACACCCCUCUCCUCCCUACCCCCAACCUAUAAAGCACCCAAGCCUACAAAGUGCUGAAGAUGUGGAUGCACUGCUGCUGGGCAUGGCCUCCCAGAUCGCAGAGCGAGAGGACCAUGUGUUGGUUGAAGAUGUGCGGGGUGAGUCUGAGGCUGUCCCUGCAGGUUGUGAACUCCUGGCCUCUGGGAAGAGGCUCAGCUGGACUUCCAGAGCCAGGUAUGAGAGGGUGCCUGGGGCUGGGAGCCUGCACUGCACUCACUGAUGAGAGAGCUUCUGACAUGCUGACCAUGGCUCCUUUUGGCUUAAGUCUCCUGGGGCUGGUUGGAGCCUGGGGCCUGGACUGGAGACUGCUGUGGUGGCCCUGAGCUCCCUCAGACUGUCUGGUAUCUCGUCUCCAGAUUUCUGGCCUGGGCCACUGAAGUUUUCCCGCACAGACCACCUGGCCAGCUGCCUGCAGCGGGGCCGGGAUCUGGGCCUGCCCUCUUACACCAAGGCCAGGGCAGCGCUGGGCUUGUCUCCCAUUACCCGCUGGCAGGACAUCAACCCUGCACUCUCCCGGAGCAAUGACACUGUGAGGAGGGGUCAGGACCCAGAGGGUAGGGUGGGAGGGAGAAGGCAGGUGGGCCUGAGACAUGGAAGACAGGCAGUAAAACUUGAGCACAAGAGACAAGCACCUAAUGGGAGGGGCAGGGCUUACCCAGAUCACUUUUCCCAAUAUCACAUAUCAGGAUGAAGAUUAUCAGACCAGCAAGAUUUGGCUUUGCACUCAGAUUGUUCAGAUCCAGCAAGCGUGUAUUAAGCAUCUACUGUUUGCUAGGCACUUAAUAGGCACUAUCUCAUUUACUGUUCUCUCCACCCUCCUGAGUGGGUAUAGAAGGUCCUUGACUUAGGAACAAUCUGUGCUUUCUUGCACUGAUGUUUAAGCCGCCUUUCAGGAGUCAGCUGUUACACCCUGAGCUACCACCUGGACUGGUGGCCCAGGCCAAGGUAGAAAAUGCUGGUGAUAUGUUUUUGAAAACUGUCUCCAAAAGGCAAUAUAUAAUCAGGCAUUUGAUUAAAAAAAAUUUUAGUUCUAAACAAUAGAAACCUUUUAUAACACACCAUUCUGCCAUUCAACUUUUGCACAUUCUGAUUUUGUCCCUUCAACUUUCAUACCUUUUCAAGAACAAGUUAUGAAUGGGGAUUGGCUGGCUGUUUUAUUACUUUAUAAAAUAGGCAGCUGAAUAUAUGAGAGGGUUCCCAUAAAUGGAGUUCACUUACAUAAAACACUCAGAGCAGUGCCUGGGGCAUAAUAAGCACUAUAUAGGAGUGAGUUACUGUUACUGUCAUUUAUUAUUAUCAUCCCUGGGGCUAAUCCCUGGGAGCCACCUCUUUGCCUUAGGGUGGGUGCCGUGUCCUUUCUCUUACUUCUGCCCCUUCUUGGUUCCAGGUACUGGAGGCCACAGCCGCCCUGUACAACCAGGACUUAUCCUGGCUAGAGCUGCUCCCUGGGGGACUCCUGGAGAGCCACCGGGACCCUGGACCUCUGUUCAGCACCAUCGUGCUUGAACAAUUUGUGCGGCUACGGGAUGGUG